GACGAACGCUGGCGGCGUGCUUAACACAUGCAAGUCGAACGGAAAGGCCCUGCUUUUGUGGGGUGCUCGAGUGGCGAACGGGUGAGUAACACGUGAGUAACCUGCCCUUGACUUUGGGAUAACUUCAGGAAACUGGGGCUAAUACCGGAUAGGAGUUCCUGCUGCAUGGUGGGGGUUGGAAAGGUUCGGCGGUUGGGGAUGGACUCGCGGCUUAUCAGCUUGUUGGUGGGGUAGUGGCUUACCAAGGCUUUGACGGGUAGCCGGCCUGAGAGGGUGACCGGCCACAUUGGGACUGAGAUACGGCCCAGACUCCUACGGGAGGCAGCAGUGGGGAAUAUUGCACAAUGGGCGGAAGCCUGAUGCAGCAACGCCGCGUGCGGGAUGACGGCCUUCGGGUUGUAAACCGCUUUCGCCUGUGACGAAGCGUGAGUGACGGUAAUGGGUAAAGAAGCACCGGCUAACUACGUG
rnacentral:rRNA from 1 species